GGUUGUGACAGUCUCCAGUCCCUUGUCCCAGGCCACACCUGGAAGGUGGAUGGGGUGAGUCUUGGUAUCAUGAUGGGCUCUUGGCCUGUGACAGGACUCAGACGUUUGGGGACACAUGGCCCCUGUGCCUAUGGAUUCGUCUGUGCACAAGAGGAUGGAGAUGAGGGCUAGAGGCAAAGGCUAGACUGAGGAAGCAGCAGGGGGGAGCUUCUGGGGGAUGAGUGGGGAGCACAAAGGAGAAUGCUUCUGGGAGCACUAGCUGGAGCCAGACAGAAAGCCCUGGCAUCCUCCAGGGACCCUGACACCUCUCUACUUUGGAGAAGUCCCUUUGCAGGGACUGGGACUCUGGGAGAGUCAGCACAUGAGCUCUCACGGAGGGCAAGAACAUGACCUUCACCCUUUAAUUUC
ensembl:sense_intronic Gm43755 predicted gene 43755